AAUAAAACCACUUAACGUACACACUUAGUGGUGUAAUUUUGAGGUGGAAUAUGGCUGGGGAUGGACAUAGAAGCAAAAAAUGUUUUUUUUUUUAAAGCAAGGAGGGUCUGGACAAUAAUAUGAGGGGGAAAAAAGUACUACCGAGAAUAUUUCAUAAUUAAACAAACGUUUUAUAUCAUAAAAAACCUUUUCAUUAUUAGUUUUCUUUUUUGCUCAUAUGCUCAAUACGCU